CCUACGGGAGGCAGCAGUGGGGAAUAUUGCACAAUGGGCGCAAGCCUGAUGCAGCGACGCCGCGUGGGGGAUGACGGCCUUCGGGUUGUAAACCUCUUUCGACAGGGACGAAGCUUUGGUGACGGUACCUGUAUAAGAAGCACCGGCUAACUACGUGCCAGCAGCCGCGGUAAUACGUAGGGUGCGAGCGUUGUCCGGAAUUACUGGGCGUAAAGAGCUCGUAGGUGGUUUGUCGCGUCGUCUGUGAAAUUCCGGGGCUUAACUUCGGGCGUGCAGGCGAUACGGGCAUAACUUGAGUGCUGUGGGGGAGACUGGAAUUCCUGGUGUAGCGGUGGAAUGCGCAGAUAUCAGGAGGAACACCGAUGGCGAAGGCAGGUCUCUGGGCAGUAACUGACGCUGAGGAGCGAAAGCAUGGGGAGCGAACAGGAUUAGAUACCCUGGUAGUCCAUGCCGUAAACGGUGGGCGCUAGGUGUAGGGGUCUUCCACGACUUCUGUGCCGUAGCUAACGCAUUAAGCGCCCCGCCUGGGGAGUACGGCCGCAAGGCUAAAACUCAAAUGAAUUGACGGGG
rnacentral:rRNA from 1 species